rnacentral:lncRNA from 1 species
GAGCGCUGAGGACACACCAGUAGGAGGAGGCAGCAUAAACUCUCAAAGCGAGAGUCCACAGUGGUUCCCAGUCUCCUCUUUGGAUACCCGGGCACUGCCAACAAAUGGCAGGAAGAAGGAUUCAAGAACCCUUUAUCCUGGGACAUCUCUACACUGGGCAGAAAGGGGAGGCAGAGCCCAGUAUGAGUGGAAUCCAGUCUGAUCAGAGCUUGACAGGAUCAAGAGGAAGCUAGGAGACAAACCUCCAGACACGCCUGCGAGGGAUUAUCUAGAAGAAAAUAAUUGAAGCAGGAAGACCUGCCUUAACUGUGGGUGGCACCAUUCCUUGGGGUGAGGUCCUGGAUUGAGGACAAAGUAGAAGGUAUGUUGUCACAACGAGGAAACGAGAAAUGUCUUGGUCAGAGUAUUUGAAGCAGGAAGACCCAGGACGCAGGACUGCCCUUCUCUUGGCAGUCUACAUAAAAGGACACGGAUGAAGGAAGCAUUGCUCUUUGCUUCACACUUGCUGAUGAGUUGAGCUGGAAAGAUCCUGUUGCUGUGGCAUUCCUUGACCGAUAUUAGAACUUACUUCCUCAGGAUUCCAAGGUAGAUUGAAGACCAGCAUCUCCCCAGGAAUCCUCCAGGCCUUCAGUGCCAUUUUGAGACUACUGGGACAUUCAGCCUCAUGAUUCUUUGUGUCUCAAU